GUGCCUUCGGGAACUCUGACACAGGUGCUGCAUGGCUGUCGUCAGCUCGUGCGGGAGAUGUUGGGUUAAGUCCCGUAACGAGCGCAACCCUUGUCCUUAGUUACCAGCACGUUAUGGUGGGCACUCUAAGGAGACUGCCGGUGACAAACCGGAGGAAGGUGGGGAUGACGUCAAGUCAUCAUGGCCCUUACGGCCUGGGCUACACACGUGCUACAAUGGUCGGUACAGAGGGUUGCCAAGCCGCGAGGUGGAGCUAAUCUCACAAAACCGAUCGUAGUCCGGAUCGCAGUCUGCAACUCGACUGCGUGAAGUCGGAAUCGCUAGUAAUCGCGAAUCAGAAUGUCGCGGU
rnacentral:rRNA from 1 species